UCUUUUUUACAUCACCUGAAUUAGAACAGGUGGGUUCUGCCUGAUAAUGAUCCACAGCAGUGCGGACUGAAGCACCUUCACUUUCAUCAUCUGAGUCAAAUGCCACCAACUGAAGGUUGAUUUUCU